AUUGAACGCUGGCGGAAUGCUUUACACAUGCAAGUCGAACGGUAGAGGGGGCAACCCCUUGAGAGUGGCGAACGGGUGAGUAAUAUAUCGGAACGUGCCCAGUCGUGGGGAUAACGUAGCGAAAGUUACGCUAAUACCGCAUACGAUCUAAGGAUGAAAGCGGGGGAUCGCAAGACCUCGCGCGAUUGGAGCGGCCGAUAUCAGAUUAGGUAGUUGGUGAGGUAAGGCUCACCAAGCCAACGACCUGUAGCUGGUCUGAGAGGACGACCAGCCACACUGGAACUGAGACACGGUCCAGACUCCUACGGGAGGCAGC
rnacentral:rRNA from 1 species